rnacentral:rRNA from 1 species
AACGAACGCUGGCGGCAUGCCUAACACAUGCAAGUCGAACGAGACCUCCGGGUCUAGUGGCGCACGGGUGCGUAACGCGUGGGAACCUGCCCUUGGGUUCGGAAUAACUCCCCGAAAGGGGUGCUAAUACCGGAUAAGGUCUUCGGACCAAAGAUUUAUCGCCUUUGGAGGGGCCCGAGUUGGAUUAGCUAGUUGGUAGGGUAAAAGCCUACCAAGGCGACGAUCCAUAGCUGGGCUGAGAGGAUGAUCAGCCACGCUGGGACUGAGACACGGCCCAGACUCCUACGCGAGGCAGCAGUGGGGAAUAUUGGACAAUGGGCGAAAGCCUGAUCCAGCAAUGCCGCGUGAGUGAUGAAGGCCUUAGGGUUGUAAAGCUCUUUUACCCGGGAUGAUAAUGACAGUACCGGGAGAAUAAGCUCCGGCUAACUCCGUG